GACGAACGCUGGCGGCGUGCCUAAUACAUGCAAGUCGAGCGGACGAAUCGAAAGCUUGCUUUUGAUUCGUUAGCGGCGGACGGGUGAGUAACACGUGGGCAACCUGCCCUGUAGACGGGGAUAACACCGAGAAAUCGGUGCUAAUACCGGAUAACACGAAAUGUCGCAUGACGUUUCGUUGAAAGACGGCGCAAGCUGCCGCUACAGGAUGGGCCCGCGGCGCAUUAGCUAGUUGGCGAGGUAACGGCUCACCAAGGCGACGAUACGUAGCCGACCUGAGAGGGUGAUCGGCCACACUGGGACUGAGACACGGCCCAGACUCCUACGGGAGGCAGCAGUAGGGAAUCUUCCGCAAUGGACGAAAGUCUGACGGAGCAACGCCGCGUGAGCGAAGAAGGCCUUCGGGUCGUAAAGCUCUGUUGUUAGGGAAGAACAAGUAACGCAGUAACUGGCGUUACCGUGACGGUACCUAACGAGAAAGCCACGGCUAACUACGUG
rnacentral:rRNA from 1 species